GUGUGAAUGUACAGUUCACUAUUAUACUUCAACAUGAUCAGGAUGCCUUUAAUCAAAAGGAUUGGUUUAGUCAACCCAUAAGAUUGAUUCAUUACCUUGGAGUUCCAGAGGGAUUUUGUGUAGCAUGUUCUUCAGCUGAGCGACUACUUCGU